GGUUAGUCCGCAACGAGCGCAACCCUUAUCCUUUGUUGCCAGCGGUCCGGCCGGGAACUCAAAGGAGACUGCCAGUGAUAAACUGGAGGAAGGUGGGGAUGACGUCAAGUCAUCAUGGCCCUUACGACCAGGGCUACACACGUGCUACAAUGGCGCAUACAAAGAGAAGCGACCUCGCGAGAGCAAGCGGACCUCAUAAGGUGCGUCGUAGUCCGGAUUGGAGUCUGCAACUCGACUCCAUGAAGUCGGAAUCGCUAGUAAUCGUGGAUCAGAAUGCCACGGUGAAUACGUUCCCGGGCCUU
rnacentral:rRNA from 1 species